GUUCGCAUAACCUAAUGGAAUGAAGAUGGAAAAGUCAGAAAUAAAUGUGCUAGACCCGGGAUAAGCCUCCACGUGUCCCGAGGCAGAAGACUCGUGGAGGCGGCUCGUUUUGGGAAUUGAUUGAGGGAUUGGAUUGGUAGCUAGAAGGACAGGGCAAUAUGGGCAUUAUUCUAAUGACCAAAGGGUUUUUCUGGAAUUUCCCUGAAAGCAUGUGCCUUGCACAUGACUACUUUCCAGAGAACCCUAUAAAUACCCCUUCCAUUCCAUUGGGAAAGGGGACCUCUCUUCAGACACAAGACUUGGACCCUUUUGGUGACUUAAAGGCUUGGAUUUUUCCACCUAAAAGCACUAAAGAGUUGAGACUUCUCUUCAGACUCAAGACUUGGACUCUUGGAAGAUCAAAGGACCCUUUCUGGUGACUUAAAGGCUCGAAGAUUCCACCUAAAAGCACUAGAAAGGGGUUUGAACAUUCUCUCAACUCGAAGGACUCAAGAAGGCUCUUGGAAUUCUUGUUACCCUAACACGGUUCCCGGAUUCUAGGGGUUCUGCCACGCGUCGUUGGAGUAAUCGCCCACCUGUCGUUCUCCCCUCUUCAAUCAACCAAUCAAUUCUAUACUCUUCGUGGAUUUCUCUCCUCCUCAGCCAACACGAAACCCUAACUCCUGAAACACAGAUUGGUUUGUUUUUUUUUUGAACAUGAAACGACGUCGUUUCAUUAAAAAAAAUAAAAAAUUUCCAUUAUAGCAUCAGGUAGGAAUUAUCGAAUUAGGGAUUUACUCUAUCUCUUCAGUUCAAUCUUCCCGCCUCUGUAGCUCUUCGCUUCUUCCGCCUCUGAUUUCAGGCCAGCCAUCCAUUAAUUCACCAUAACAAUACUAGUAGUAUCAGUCACUGUUUUGAGAGUAGAAGAAGAAGAAGCAGAAGACCCGUCAUCGUCAAUUGCUCUGUGAAGAACAACAGCUAUUCUAAAAGUACCCUAUCAAGCAAUUGGGAUGUCUCAAAUAGUGCCCCUUAUUAGAUGCCCAGAUUCGAAGAGCUCGAUACCACCAACAACUUCUUCGCCAGCGAAUCAUUUUCUCUGGACUUUGGUAAUUUCUAAAUUCUAAUUUAGGUUAUGUCUGUCAAAUUAUAUUAUUUCAUGUUAAGAAUCAAGAUGAUCUCUUUAAUUUUUCG
rnacentral:lncRNA from 1 species